GAAAUCUGUAGGCUAUAUGAAACAUACAUGAUUACAUAAAUAUUGAAUUAAUGUAUGUACAGAUGGUUGCAUCUUUGCAGAAGCAAGCGCUCGGGCAAAUGGAAGAGUAAAUGAGUGUUGAAGAAUUAAAUCGAUACGGAAACACAACAUCUUAACUUGACCUCGAUGUGGAUGGGAAGUCUCAAGUCCAUUUAAGACCAGAAGGAGGCAGUCAUGCAUCAAAUUCUAUCAGCAGUGGAGGGUGUCAAAGAGAACAGUGCAUGAGACCUGCCAUAUAUGUGACCAAACGUAGACUAGAAAAAAGGAGCAAACCUGCACCACUGACCAGAGCAAGUUGUAGGAUAUUUCAUCUGUAUGAAGAGGAGACAGAAGAAGCCAUCACCUGCAAUCAAAGUAAAGGACUAUUAGCCUGCAGCAAGAAGAGGGAGAGCAUCUUUAAGAGCAGACUCCUGCCUCAGUUGUGGAAAAUGUGACUCUCGCUUUCCCUUUUCUCUCCUUGCUUGACUGUCUAUCCACAGGCUGUCCCUCCAUCUGUCCCAGCAGGAUGCAGGCGCACCAUUUUGGCGUUUGGGACAAAAUGAAAUGCUGCAGGGAUCCAGGCCGGUUGUUGGGGAGAGGAGGCGAGAGAGAGAGAAAAGCAUAGAAGAACAUUUGCAAGCUUCUGCGAGGAAAAGGGAGGAGAGAGGGAGAUGCAUGACUCAGAGCUCAGCAGCUGGAAUACUGUGUAUUCUUCAUGAGCAAUAGAUAGAGGAGCAAUGGGAGCGAUAUAGAGAAGGGACCGCACCAGAAUUGAGCAGUCGUUAGACAGAGGAAGGACGUGACGAGGUCAGAAGCAGGAGCACUGGCGGGCAGUGAGUGAGAUAUAGGUCGACGUGAAUCAGGUUGCUAGAGGCUGAGGAAGGCAAGAAGAGGGUGAGUUUGGAAAGUGGAUGGUUUGAUAUGACUGAAGCUGGCUGAGGGAAGGUUGAAGGUUCGCUGCAGGGCGGAAAGUCCUCAGUGACUGUGUCUUGCUACGGGGAGAGAACAUGACUGAGGUCUGCAUAUGGGACGACAAGCUUCAAGAAAGUUGACCACGGGAAAGGAAGAAAAUGGUAGAGAGUAGAGAGGUUUAGAAAAAAAACAACACAUAGCACCAGGGGACAGGACAUAGAGAUGAAGAACCACUCAGGCUUGGCAAGAGCAAAACUUCACAUACAAGAAGAGAGAAACAGCUAUAAAGGUCGGUAAGGGAGACCAACUGGACAUUGCUGACCAGAGAACUUAUCGUCCAGUGCACAACAACAGGGACAUGGAAACUUAAACUAUGACACAAGCACAGCAAGAAGUUCCUGUUAAAUAUUGAUGCUGACAGGCCACUCUCGAAAAAGCUCGCUCCUUGAACCACAGAGGAGGAGGCAGUGGGAAGAGACACAGUUAAUGUUUUAUUCCAAGGGAUUCACACACCGCAGUUAAGGUACGCCAGAAGAAGGCUAAAUGUGGAGUUAACAUUUUGACUGCAAAUUAAGAGUCAGAGAUUAGUCAAGCCUCGCGUUCCUGGAGGGAUUUUUCUCGGUGAGAGUGGAUUGACGACAGAGAAAACUGGACUGUUAUCAUAUGUGGGAACAUCUAACGAGAGGAGAAUCAACGUUUGAGAGAUCACACCAGGACUAGAGCAAUUUCUUCUUUCUCUGCAAGCACAAGAUCCCAGUCUGGCGGAUAUCUUAUAUCUUGAUAUAUAUCUUGGAUUGACUGCCAUUGUGAGCUACAUCACUGCCAGACGAGAGAUAAGCCAAACACUGCUGAAGCAUUCAUAAAUGUUUCCACCCAUUGUUUUGACUGGUACUGUUUCAACUCUCUGAAAAUGGACUCACUCCAAAGAUUUGACUUGUGAAGGUUUGUUUGUCACGGCUUGAGGAUAAAUGAGCAUGGAAACAUUUUGAAGUGCAUCAACAUAAAGGAUUCUUUAAUUGAAGACAAGAUGCAUACUUUGUUCUUGUAUCCAUGACUGAAAAAGGGUCAUUAUGGCUGUAAAUGUUGUCAUGGCAUUAGGCUACAGUCUGCUCUCUCUCUCCUACCUGAAUCACAUAUUCCUCAAAUUGUCAACACAAAAACGUAGGAAGACAUAACGCACGUCUCCAUCCAGCUGCGGACCGACCAGCUGCGUGUUCGCGUGUGCGCUUGUGGGUGUAAGGACUGUCGAGGAGCUCAGCUGUGUUUGUGUGAGCUUGUGUGGAGGUGUGUGUCUGUGAGUGUGUGCGCCGAGCUUUGAACCGCAGCUGUGUCUGAGUGUAUUUUCAAAGUGUUGCCCGGAGCUGUGUUUCUGUGAGUGUGUGUGUGAGUGUGUGAGUGUGUGUGUGUGUGUGUGUGUGUGUGUGUUGCCCGGAUUCUCCCCACCAGCGAUAGAGCUGGACCUGAACAGCCGUGGUGAGAGGGGGGACAGGGAGGGGGAGGAGGAUGAGAAGAGGGAGGUGAAAGAAACCAGCAGGACGGAGGAGAAGAAAGAACUGACAACAUGCUCGGGUAAAGGGACGAAAGAGAGGAGUCUUUGGCUGCCCCCCUGGUGCAAUGUGUGGCGUCACGCCCUGUGGGGGUGGGGUUCUGUGAUGGUAACCAUGGUCCCCGGCAGCCGCUAUGUCUGCAGCGCUCACGCUAGAGAGGAAGACCCAACGAACGACCGCGAGGAGCGAAUUUUAGCCGUGCUGGGCAUCAUCGGGACCAUCCUCAAUCUUUUAGUGGUCAUAGUUGUCUACAUCUACACUUCCGUCACCUAAGGUGUUUGUGGACAAAAGACGCUGGCGGUGUCCCCAACUUUGCUCCACACUGCCCGCCCACCUCUUUAAAUAUUGAUGUACCUUUUUAUUCUUGGAGGGUUUGAUUAGGCAGAGUAAGUGCUGAGAUGUGAGGAUCGUUGGCAGUGUGUUCAGCUGGAUAGUAGCCAUAUUUUUCUACACCUGCAUCAGUGCUCAUCAGUGAGUGCAGCUCCGCUCUAUUACCUGAAGACUGCCGCACAUCACAGAAAAGGAACUACAGGUUGGAAUCAUCUGCACUCCCCGAAACUUUUGCCGUCACAAUUUUUCAAAACAAUUCUACAUAUCCGUGUCAAACGACUGCUGAUAGUGUGUCCAGCCGGGACCGGUUGUAUAUGUCUUCAAUCAUAUUGACUGGUGACUGCGGCAUAGCUGUCCUCCUACUGCUGAGACAGCAGGAGUGGAGAUCUUACGUGUAUUUGAUCUAAUGGUGGUCGGACUUGAGUGUGCUUCAUCCUGCCUUUUUGUCUCAUAACUCUUCAAGAGUCUAUGGUUACUGUUGUUUUAAAAAAAUGAUAUCUUGCUCCUAGUCCCUGGCAGUUGACUUGAGCAGAGCGUCAGUACAGAUGUACUAGAUGAUCAAUCAGGACUAAAUAUUACUUUCUGUAGUUAGUAGUCACCAAAAAGAUUAUACAUGGACCUAACGUGUCCAUAUCUCAGCACACCGGAGGAGAGGUUCCUGGCUGUGCUGGGAGUCAUCGGCAUCGUGCUGAACCUCCUGCUGCUCGUCUUCGUCUACAUAUACACGUCCAUCUGAUUCCGGACACCGUACAGUAACUGCAGCUGUAACUAAGAGUCGGGGGGGUUCCAAUGAUCAUAUUGUGGGACAGAGUAUGUUCUUCAGCCACACAUACAUUUAUAUAUUGCAUCUAAGCACACCCUGAUUCAAGGCUCAUUUGGAGAUAUGUUUUUUUCUAGGUGGUUUUCUGUGCCUAAUGAUAUUCUAAUAAUGAUGGGAACUUGAUGAAAAGAAGGUGAUGAGAAUACUUAAAGGCAAAAGAGAAAAUAUGUAGUAUUUGAGUGGUUUAUAAUAGAAACACACUUCACAAAAGUUCUGUCGUGCAAUUUGUGUUUUUGAAGAUACAGUACUCUUUCUAUGAGACUCUUUACCUUAUAUCGCUACAAUCAAAUACUUCCCAUCAUGCUUUGACCAAAACAACUGAUGAAAAAGACUGCCAUCUUGUUAGUAUUUUCUACUUUCUCAACAUGUUCAUUGAUACCGAAAAUACGCCGACAUGAAAGUGGACGGAGUUGAUGUUUCAGUAUGUGCAGCAGCUCUGCACAUCGGCAAAGAUCCCUCUCUGGGCGGUCGGUAUCACAGACUAACGUUGUGUUUUCUGGUGUCAUGUUUCUCUGAUUGGAUCUGCAACUCGGGCACAGAGUGGCACCAGAGAGGGAAAAGCAUGGAACUGAGCAAAUGUAACAGAGAAAUUGCGGAGAACCAGUGUGUAUUGUCUGAAAAAAGAGGACAUCAAACCUCCGUACGAGGCCUCACCAUCUGUCUCCAAACACGCACGCACACAAAAAACUCCCUGGGACUGAGCUGCAACGUUCCCGCUGGAGCCGCAUGUCACUAUGGAUAUGACUUUAGGUUUAAGCACUGUGCCUCUAGUGGAGGAGCAAAUCCAAAUGUAGCUGACAAGCGGGCAGGAAGGAUUGGCUUGAAUCUCCACUUCAUCCUCGUCGUUCUCUUCUCCACCAACAAGCUGACGCCGGAAAAGACAUAGUACUGAGAGGAGCCGCAUGAGUCUCAUGCUGUCAUUUCACAAAGCACAAUACUUUUAUAAAUACAUGCACCCAUACCUGUGUGAAAGAUUUAAUUCCAUACGCUCAUCAGUCAGAGGUUCAGGGAAAGACUCAACCAAAGGACCACAGGAACAGUUUGUUUAACAUGAAUGAAUGACCAGCACCUCUGACUGCUCUCUUACCCUAUACUGCAAUUUUACAUGCUUGCUUGUGUGAAUACUAGUAUUGACAAUUUGAUAUUGCAUAAUAAUAUUCUGUGUUAGAUUGUGAACCUCUAUGAUCUUAGUUUGAGAAUCUGUUUCAUUGUUGAGCGUUCUGUUUGUAUAAGCUUGAGAGCAAAUCUGAAAGACGUUGGAAAAGGUUUGAGAUUAACAUUGAUACAUCAAUGCUGUGACAGUUUCAUUGCUGGAAUAAUUAGCUUUUAUUGACACUUAUUAUUUCCACAAGAUCCAAAAGCUACAGCAUGUAGCUGUGAUCUGAGGUGCCAGCAAUCACAGUGUCAUCAUAACGGCUUGAACCCGUGGCCCGACCUCUGAUAAUAAAACCCAAACAACCUACAUAUUUUCUCAAACCGUACAAAUCGAGUUUUAAUCCUCAGAAGGCUCUUUACUAAAUCAAAGGUCCGGACGGUCCUCACAUUCCACAGGGGUCCUCACAUGGACCCCAAAACUCAAUUGGUCCUCACAGAGAUAGGCAUUCACUCACACAUUGAAGCUCCGUGAGUUUAAUUUCACAAGAUCUUUCAGGACACAUCUGGAGAGUCGACAGUUGCUGACAUCGAUGUGACUUGCACACUUACUUCCUGUCACAUCUAAUAAUCGUACAGUGGAGAUUGUUGAGCUAAAUGCAUUUUAAAUGUGCACCGAAGCACAGAAUGAGCCACCUUUGGUUCGCCAGACAUCGGCUGUCAGACUGUGACAGUUGAUGCCACAGCUGCACAGAAACACAUCUGAAUACAUUUUUUAUGUCGGUGCCUCUUACGGGUCCCUUGAUGUUGCAAACAAACAAAAUGAACAACAUGCUCGACGUUACAACUCAGGUUAUCUUAAAUACUGGCAAAGGUUUUCUAAUAAGGGACCAUAAAGGGUUUACAGGCUGUAACUAAUAGCUUUAUUAUUUGAAUAUAAAUAAUUUACAAAUCAUUAGAAGCAAUUCAUAAAACCAACUUUUGGAUUGCACUUUGCCUUAUCCCUUUUUAAUAAAGUACAGUUCCAAUAAAUAUAGACAAAUUGUAAUUUCUGGUUUUAUUAAUAUUGAUUAUUCCUUUUCUAUCCUUUACUAUUGUUAUUUGGCUUAUUAGAAAAUUAGAAACCCAUGAAUAUUUAUUUAGAUUGCAAAUUUGUUACAUCUUUUUUGCCAAAAAGCUCAAGGGUUUUUACAAAACCUGUUCAUUUCCAAUUGAUUUAUAAAGCAUGAGUAAAUUAUUCAUCAACCAUUGCCAAAGCAGUUGGUCAGUCUCUAAGUGUGCCUGUCUUGAAAAUUAUACCAGUUUGUGGGUUUCUAAAGGCCAAUGGGAAAACUAAUCUUUUUACACUGAAACAACUGAAAGACAUUUAUUUUCUGCCAAUUUUUUAUCUUUUUAAAAUGUAAAUGCCAAAAUGAAAUGUGAAAGUAUAUUAGAGACUUCAUGAGGGAGAGUGAACCAAUGGUUAGAUUAAGCCUAAAAGAAGAAUAUGGUUAAAAAAAAUGAAAUAAGAAAAGCAAAAAAAAAAAAGGAAUUCAGAUUUACAGCCUUCAUUAUUGUUUUCUGUAGCAUCAGUCUAUGACGGUCAUUCCUCAUAUCCACAAUCAUCACAGUAUUGGCUGAUAUUUGAUAAUAGUACAAUAAGUCUAAUCUUAAUAUGUAUUUAGCAUGCAGUUCAGGUUUUUGGUUAAGAACAUGGCACUUCCACGCAGACUGAAGAGAAGUUGAGAGCCUACAGGGCGAGUCCUGCCAUCUGCUGUCCCAACAGACAUUCUGCCAUGUCCUCAACGUGACACACACACACACACACACACACACACACACACACUGACUUCACAUUCCCACUCAUCCCCACUAAUAUGUGCAAAUGUUAUGGAAAGACCUCUCUAAUGCCACAGAAUAAACAGGUGCAUGGGGAGUACACCGUAUACUCCUGACCACUGAAACAAGAGAACAAUGUUCCAAAUGUUCAUUCUGACACUUGAUUCAAAUAUGGUCAUCCUGAGUCUGAGGCGGCGACUGUGAGACAGAGCCUCAUGUUUUUUCAUGAUUUGUGAGCUGAAUUGAUUUUUAAGCCUGAGAGGGCACACUGGACACAGACUGUCACUUCUCAUUUAACAGCGCAGGCAGGACCCGUGAUUCAAGCAGCUGCCCGGUGUCACAAAGCCUCAAAAAAUUAUACGUCCACGAAAACGUUUUGCGUGACAAUCAUUCACUAACAAUAACAUUCCAGGACAGUAGCUGCUGCAGUGCUGACCAAGCAAACGGUAGAUUUAAAAAAGGGUAAAAAGUCCAGAAUGAGUACCGUUUACUGAUCAUAUUUGCUUCCAUCAACAAGUAAUAAUGUAAUUUAGUCUAAGCUGAGAACUUACAUCCUCUUGAACUGUGUAUCUCCAUUUCUGAUGAGCCGAUACAGAAACUGUUUGUUACAAUCACUGGGAGUAAAAACUGAACCAAAGCUGUGAGAUCUGGCCAACUUUCCAUGUAACAAUUAUAUAUCAUGUACAGUUAUAGUAAUGCCAAUAAAACGAGAAACAAAAAAAACACCACUUCCAGAGUUUCAAUGUUUUUAAUAAAAAUUGCAAAAUCUGA